AGUGAACGCUGGCGGUAGGCCUAACACAUGCAAGUCGAACGGCAGCACAGUAAGAGCUUGCUCUUACGGGUGGCGAGUGGCGGACGGGUGAGGAAUACAUCGGAAUCUACUUUUUCGUGGGGGAUAACGUAGGGAAACUUACGCUAAUAUCGCAUACGACCUACGGGUGAAAGCAGGGGAUCUUCGGACCUUGCGCGAUUGAAUGAGCCGAUGUCGGAUUAGCUAGUUGGCGGGGUAAAGGCCCACCAAGGCGACGAUCCGUAGCUGGUCUGAGAGGAUGAUCAGCCACACUGGAACUGAGACACGGUCCAGACCCCUACGGGAGGCAGCAGUGGGGAAUAUUGGACAAUGGGCGCAAGCCUGAUCCAGCCAUACCGCGUGGGUGAAGAAGGCCUUCGGGUUGUAAAGCCCUUUUGUUGGGAAAGAAAAGCAGCAGGUUAAUACCCCGCUGUUCUGACGGUACCCAAAGAAUAAGCACCGGCUAACUUCGUG
rnacentral:rRNA from 1 species